AACUCUGGACGUGGGAAGUC
rnacentral:piRNA from 1 species